rnacentral:tRNA from 1 species
GUCCUCGUAGCUCAGGUGGACAGAGCGCGGCGCUACGAACGCCGAGGUCCGAGGUUCGAGUCCUCGUGAGGACA